CUUUGGAACCGGGAAUGUAGUGAUAUCAGAAACAUACAAAAACCAUUAUUGAUUUUUACAAGUUUCAGUAAUACGUCAGCGGUGAAAGAGGCCGUCCUUCCAGAAAUGACGUAGUGGACGUUGCAGUCGACAUAUAAAUGCGCACCGAAAUCGCGUGUAAGAUUUAAAACAGAUGCGAUUUCACGCCGAGGUAAGUAGCGACAUUAAGUAUUAAACAUUUUUGAUUCCUGUAGUUAAUCUAAUCCGAUGUACGUUUAAUGGCAGAUGGACAAACUCGUAUUUUGCUGUUUAUUCGUUUGGCUGUCUUUUAAUAUCGGUUGCAGUUCUACGGCGAAAUGGCACGAGGACGCAAAUGAAGGGAAUAAGGUGACUAUCGACAGAUGCCAAAUAGAGGAAAACUACGAGCUGAGAAAAUUGUGUGAUAUAUGUUCUAGAGUGACUGGAAAUUACGAUCUGUAUAACAGAUGCUGCUAUAACAGAAACGAAGAAGAAAACUGGUGCCGACAGUUUAUAAAUUAUAGAUUUCAGCCUCAGUAAGAUUAAGUGGCUUUUUUAAUCACGAAUAUUUCGCUUAUUUAUAUUGUCGAUAUACUGUUGUAAUUGUUUCUGUUCUAAUAAACGUGAUUAUCUAUUAA
rnacentral:lncRNA from 1 species